UCCGGUUUGUCACCGGCAGUCUGGCGUGAGUCCCCAACUUAAUGCUGGCAACACGCCACGGGGGUUGCGCUCGUUGAUGGACUUAACCAAACAUCUCACGACACGAGCUGACGACGGCCAUGCAUCACCUGUCACUUGGCUCAAUAAAGCACUUUUUCCUUUCGGAAAAAUUCCAAGGAUGUCAAGCCUGGGUAAGGUUCUUCGCUUACCAUCGAAUUAAACAACACGCUCCACCGCUUGUGCGGGUCCCCGUCAAUUCCUUUAUGUUUUAAGCUUGCGCUCGUACUCCACAGGCGGGAUGCUUAACGCGUUAGCUUCGCUACUAGAGGGGUCGAUACCUCUAACAGCUAGCAUCCAUAGUUUACGGCGUGGACUAC
rnacentral:misc_RNA from 1 species